rnacentral:lncRNA from 1 species
AUGGAGAUCUGGCUGGUGAGGAAUCAUUUGUUUUGGAGUCGGAGCCAAGACUGAAUUCCCGGGGAUUUCUGGCGCGAUCGCGUCCAAGUGUCUGGUGUGUAAGGCUCUUCAGUCUGCCCUGAAGCUCAGAGGGCUUCGACAGUACAGAUGCUAGAGGCCUCUGCGAGCAAAGGCGGCGCUGGCCCAGGGGUUCAGGUUCCUGCGAGCGUUGGCCCAUGGCGCUUCCGGAUGCGCUGUCCG